AAGCCAGACUCCUACGGGAGGCAGCAGUGGGGAAUAUUGCACAAUGGGGGAAACCCUGAUGCAGCGACGCCGCGUGAGUGAAGAAGUAUUUCGGUAUGUAAAGCUCUAUCAGCAGGGAAGAAGAAGGACGGUACCUGAGUAAGAAGCCCCGGCUAACUACGUGCCAGCAGCCGCGGUAAUACGUAGGGGGCAAGCGUUAUCCGGAUUUACUGAGUGUAAAGGGAGCGUAGACGGCGAAGAAAGUCUGAAGUGAAAGCCCGCGGCUCAACCGCGGAAUGGCUUUGGAAACUUUUUUGCUGGAGUACCGGAGAGGGAAGCGGAAUUCCUAGUGUAGCGGUGAAAUGCGUAGAUAUUAGGAGGAACACCAGUGGCGAAGGCGGCUUACUGGACGGUAACUGACGUUGAGGCUCGAAAGCGUGGGUAGCGAACGGGAUUAGAUACCCCGGUACAA
rnacentral:rRNA from 1 species